AAUGAACGUUGGCGGCGUGGAUUAGGCAUGCAAGUCGAGCGAGAAGCUUUUCCUGCUUGCAGGAAAAGUGGAAAGCGGCGGAAGGGAGAGUAACGCGUAGAUAUCUACCUCUAGGUCUGGGAUAGCCACGGGAAACUGUGGGUAAUACCAGACAAUGUCUUCGGACCAAAGGUGUGAUUCCGUCUAGAGAGGAGUCUGCGUACUAUUAGCUUGUUGGUGGGGUAAUGGCCUACCAAGGCAAUGAUGGUUAGCAGGUGUGAGAGCAUGGCCCGUCUCACUGGGACUGAGACACUGCCCAGACACCUACGGGUGGCUGCAGUCGAGAAUCCUCGGCAAUGGACGAAAGUCUGACCGAGCGACGCCGCGUGCGGGAUGAAGGCCUUCGGGUUGUAAACCGCUGUCAGAGGGGAUGAAAUGCUAGGUGGCUAUCCAUCUAGUUUGACAAAUCCUCAGAGGAAGUACGGGCUAAGUUCGUGCCAGCAGCCGCGGUAAGACGAACCGUACAGACGUUAUUCGGAAUCACUGGGCUUAAAGGGUGCGUAGGCGGUGUAGCAAGUUGGAUGUGAAAUCUCUCGGCUCAACCGAGAAAUUGCGUUCAAAACUGCUAUGCUAGAG
rnacentral:rRNA from 1 species